GAUGAACGCUGGCGGCGUGCCUAAUACAUGCAAGUCGAGCGAAUGGAUUAAGAGCUUGCUCUUAUGAAGUUAGCGGCGGACGGGUGAGUAACACGUGGGUAACCUGCCCAUAAGACUGGGAUAACUCCGGGAAACCGGGGCUAAUACCGGAUAACAUUUUGAACCGCAUGGUUCGAAAUUGAAAGGCGGCUUCGGCUGUCACUUAUGGAUGGACCCGCGUCGCAUUAGCUAGUUGGUGAGGUAACGGCUCAACAAGGCAACGAUGCGUAGCCGACCUGAGAGGGUGAUCGGCCACACUGGGACUGAGACACGGCCCAGACUCCUACGGGAGGUAGCAGUAGGGAAUCUUCCGCAAUGGACGAAAGUCUGACGGAGCAACGCCGCGUGAGUGAUGAAGGCCUUCGGGUCGUAAAACUCUGUUGUUAGGGAAGAACAAGUGCUAGUUGAAUAAGCUGGCACCUUGACGGUACCUAUCCAGAAAGCCACGGCUAACUACGUGCCAGCAGCCGCGGUAA
rnacentral:rRNA from 1 species